CAUCUCUGCGUCUCUACACUGUCCGAAACCCUACUCCUUUUUCCAAAACUGGAAAUCACGCCAAAAACAACUACCAGAAAUCACUAACAGUCAUCGAAUUCACCACAAUUCCGGCCAAUUUCAAUGCAUAUCCUUCAACUGAGCACCAACGAUGGACGACAAAUAUAUCUGGGGACUCGAACGAAAAUCGUCACUCAGUUGCUUCCAUGGAGUUCGAAGAUAUUCAUUCGUUUUUAAGGUACUCACUAAAGUUCAAUUCGAAAAUCAGACACAAAAAGGCCGAGAUUAAUAUUUUAGGAAGUGAAAUAAUCAAAACAAAAACCGCAUGCAAAAGGAUAUGAAUCUACAAAAAGCUAAGUCACAAUGACCUCUACCUUUUUUAUUUCUGCGUUAAAGGAAGAAAUUGAAAAUAAUCUGGUCAUUUAAAGUCCUUAUACUUAUUUGUAAAUAUUUCCUUUCAUUUAGGCCAAGCCCUAACUAUUUACUUCACAGGUAAAAUUUAAAAUUUAAUCUGGGCAAUAUUACAAACCCUACAGUUGAGGUAGAACGUACACAAAGACUUACCUAAUUGUUGGCAAUUACAGUGUAACGAAGAUAAGUAUUUUCAACUGAAAUAAGAUUUCCUGAACUAUUUGUGUAUGUUGUAUUUUCAAAUUCUUGGUCUUAGUAUUGAACUAUGAAUUUAGUCAUUUGUUGAAAUCAAUUGCAUGAGUAAUAUGAAAAGGAAGAGUACUAAUUUAUUGAUAUAAUUGUUUAAGCUAUAGGCAGUUUAUGAGACAAAUUUAAACUAAAUCAUACAGAGUAAGUAAAGCCUUUCCAUUUUAAUCAAUUAUCAAAUGUAAAGAGGUCAAUUGCAAUAGUAGUUAAUAAAUUGAUAUCUAUUCUUUAAUUAUAUCUACAAAGAAUUAGAUCUCAAUUUACCUGUAUUUGAUUUGUCCAGUUUUCUCUUGCAACCAAUAGUUCUUGACUUCUCUAUCUACAAUUUAUAUAUACACAAACAACUAUACUUAUAUAUAUAUAUAUAUAUAUAUAUACACUUUCUCACAUAUUUGUCUUUAUAUAUAUGAGUGUACAUAGCUUAAAAGUCACCUCUGAAAAGAGAAUAUUGACUUGGAGAAAAUUAUUGUGAGUUGGUACACAGAACAAUUACCUAUAAUCCGGAUUACAAUUUUUUUUUGUUAAAAAGAGACUGCAUAUUAAAUUCUUACAAAUAGGGCAAAUUAUAGUUCUGUGUCUAUUAGAAACUAACUUGAGUGUCAAUUUUUUCUCUGCCAAUGUAUGAUAAUAACGAACAUCAAUUGUAUUAGUUGUUAUCACAGGCAAUGGAUGUACACAUUUAGUGAAUAGUACUUAUGUUUUCUUACUCCAAAAAGGAUGAAAUUAAUCCAAGUAAAUAAUGACUACAUAUUUUGGUUUGAAUAUUGUCCUCAGAUAAAAUUGAUGAUAAGCAUUUGCCAACAGUUUUUUAUUUUUCCUGUCAAAAACCAGAAGACUUUAGCCAUUAGAAGAUCAUUACAAAGGCAAUAAGAGAGCUAACUGAAUUUGGUGAACAAUACCAAAACAAAGACUCAAAAAAAAAAAGAAAAGGCACAAAGGGUGUGUUUGGAAACCUGGAAAAUGAUUUCUGGAAAUCAUUUUCCGGAUUUGUGGUGUUUGGGAAGGGCAAGGAAAACAAGGUCAAAGGAAAAUAGUAAAUUAGUCAAUGGAAAAUGAGUCUAAUUUGGAGGAAAAUGACUUCCCCUUUUUUUUGGGGGAAGUCAUUUUCCAGAUUUCUCACGCCCUUUGCGGCUUCGCCUUUCACCUCUCACGCCUCUGCUUCGCUUCUCACCUCUCACGCCUCUGCUGCGCUUCUCACUGCUCGCCAUUGCAUCUCACACCUCCUCUUCAUCUGCUCUCUCCAUUUGGCUUCCAGUGGCUCUUCUUCUUCCCAUCAUCAAGCCAAAGGUGCGGCGAAAUCUAGCACCGAUCUCUGCGACGUCUUCUCUUUCAGCAGUCCGGGCCUUGAGAGAAUCAACAGCCGGCUAGCCAUCAUCGGGCUCGCCGCGGCGAUGUGAAUGGAACUGGCCAACAGCGCAGUGCCUCUUAUGCCGCACUACUCUCCGUCCAAACCUCAAUUAUAGCUACAGGUUGAGAGUCUCCGUUGGAGAAAAUUAAGCCACCCUUUGAAGAUUCCAUAGUCGGAAUCAGUAGUCACUCCGUUCGCAAGCUGACGCUUGGCGAUUAGGUGUUUGACAAAAUGUCGGAACAACCCAGAGAUGAAGUGUAAAUUUUUUAUGCAAAGGGUACGCAGCCUCUGAUUUCUGCCUAGUAUUCUUCAGAAGCGACAGCUAGGAAAUAAAAAUGGAAUUAUCCUCUUUGUCGAAGUUUGGUUCACAAGCUCAAGGAUGGAUGCUUAUCAUUUUUGGGUCCAUUUCAUUUUUGCUAUUUGUAUAUGCUGCUGCUUUUUCCAAGUUUCUUCCAGGUUCUGGUAAUCCUAUAAUAGCAGCCAUUCAAAAUGACAGAUACUACUGCUUUUUGGUUCCUUUAACACUUCCUCUCCUUCUUGUUGCUGUAUAUUUUCAUUGGCUCAGCAUGAAUCUCUUUAAGCACGCCUAAUGUGUGAGCAAGUUACCAACCAAAUGAGCCAUCUGCCUACUGUAAGGGUGAUUAUGUAAACCAUUUUAGCUGGUUGAGGAUAAUCGCAGUCAUAGUUACUUAUGCAAGUGACCAUCUCAUCUCGACUCACGAAACCUACCACAAGCUGGAAUUUCAUGAACUUCUGCAGCAUGGCAAAAGGUACCUAAACCACCGGGAAGCAGAAAGACUGGUAAAUAGUCGUUACAUGUGCACUUGCAUGUGAAAAAGAAAACGGCAUAAGGAAGUAUAUGUUCUGAAGCACUGCAGCCACUCCAAUGGUUCCUUUUUAUAGAAUCUGAAUCCACCAACAGGUAAAGGAAUAUGAAGAAUCUUGAUAAGGUUUAGAAAUGGUCCUUCUUCCCCUGUUUUUAGCGCCCUGCCUUCCUUAACAUGGUGUGAACUCUUCAACAACCAUCAUAAAACAGUAUUUUCUUGCUAAGGUGAUAUCAUAAGCAUGCUUAACUACUAAGAUGGUAAUUUGUUGGCUAGUUAGUAGUUUCUAGCUGCUUUACAAAAGUAAACAAUGUUAUGGCAGCAGUAGUUAGUUGGUCACCUUUUGUAGCCGUUGUAUCAUUGUCCCUCUGACUUUAUAUCUUUUUUUAGACUCUUUGAGGAGUGUUAGUAUUGUUCUUCUGACUUUAUAUCUAUUCUGUUGUCCAUUAAAUCACAUCUUAAUGAUUCCUUUUGCAUUAA